CGCAUCUGUGCAUGCAGCAUAUCAAUAAGCGGAGGAAAAGAAACUAACAAGGAUUCCCUUAGUAACGGCGAGUGAAGCGGGAAGAGCUCAAAUUUGAAAUCUUCAAGGUUUUACCUUGACGAAUUGUAGUUUAAAGAAGUGUUUUCUGUUGAAGUUUUGGUAAAAGUUCUUUGGAAUAGGACAUCAUAGAGGGUGAGAAUCCCGUAUUUGACCAUUAUUUUCAGCUGUGUGAUACACUUUCAAAGAGUCGGGAUUGUUUGGGAAUGCAGUCCAAAAUGGGUGGUAAAUUUCAUCUAAAGCUAAAUAUUGGCGAGAGACCGAUAGCGAACAAGUACCGUGAGGGAAAGAUGAAAAGAACUUUGAAAAGAGAGUUAAACAGUACGUGAAAUUGUCAAAAGGGAAGCGUUUGACACCAGUGUUGUUUUCUCGAAAAUCAAUUAAAAAGAGUUAGAUUUUGUUGUGUAUUGACCUUAACAGCUUGCAUUUCAAUUUUCUUGCUUUUUUUAAUGCACUUUUCGUUUAACAAGUCAACAUCAGUUUCUUUUGUUGUGAAAAAGGUCAUUGGAAGGUGGCUUUCUUUUCGGAGAAAGUGUUUAUAGCCUUUGACUCCUGCAAUCGGAGAGACUGAGGUCUGCAGCGUAGAUCCUUCGGGGUUAGAUACAUUUGUGCUAAGUUAUAGCUUUUUAUAGACAACUUGUUGACUAUGAUUAGUCUUGUAGCUUACUCGCUUAUGCUAUUUUACCUACGCUUAGGAUGUUGAUGUGAUACUGCGAGCA
rnacentral:rRNA from 1 species